rnacentral:rRNA from 1 species
AGGAUGAACGCUGGCGGCGUGCUUAACACAUGCAAGUCGAACGGAGAGCUCACGAACAAGUUUUCGGACAAGGGAAUGAGUUUCUUAGUGGCGGACGGGUGAUUAACGCGUGAGUAACCUGCCUUGGAGAGCGGAAUAACACAGUGAAAAUUGUGCUAAUACCACAUGAAGCAGUUGGGUCGCAUGGCCCUGACUGCCAAAGAUUUAUCGCUCUGAGAUGGACUCGCGUCUGAUUAGCUAGUUGGUGGGGUAACGGCCCACCAAGGCGACGAUCAGUAGCCGGACUGAGAGGUUGACCGGCCACAUUGGGACUGAGAUACGGCCCAGACUCCUACGGGAGGCAGCAGUGGGGAAUAUUGGGCAAUGGGCGCAAGCCUGACCCAGCAACGCCGCGCGAAGGAAGAAGGCUUUCGGGUUGUAAACUUCUUUUAUUCGGGACGAAACAAAUGACGGUACCGAAUGAAUAAGCCACGGCUAACUACGUGCCAGCAGCCGCGGUAAUACGUAGGUGGCAAGCGUUAUCCGGAUUUACUGGGUGUAAAGGGCGUGUAGGCGGGAAAGCAAGUCAGGCGUGAAAAUUAUGGGCUCAACCCAUAACCUGCGUUUGAAACUGUUUUUCUUGAGUGAUGGAGAGGCAGGCGGAAUUCCGAGUGUAGCGGUGAAAUGCGUAGAUAUUCGGAGGAACACCAGUGGCGAAGGCGGCCUGCUGGACAUUAACUGACGCUGAGGCGCGAAAGCGUGGGGAGCAAACAGGAUUAGAUACCCUGGUAGUCCACGCUGUAAACGAUGGAUACUAGGUGUGGGAGGACUGACCCCUUCCGUGCCGCAGUUAACACAAUAAGUAUCCCACCAGGGGAGUACGAUCGCAAGGUGAA